rnacentral:lncRNA from 1 species
CUGGACCAACUGAUGCUCCUCGUUGUUUCCUCGUCGACGGUCUGCUGCCAUUGAACCACUGCGCUUUGUUACAGUUCGUCCAUCAGGAUACCAUCUGGGAUGAUGACCUUCAGGAAAUCCCAAGUUGGCCUUUCAUAUUUGCGAAAGGUGGUGGUUUCCU